rnacentral:sRNA from 1 species
AAGCAAUUUUAGAACGUUUUCAUACACAAUAAAUGUUAUUGAAGAAGCAGGAGCAUUCUUCAACAGGUUUGCGGUAAUUCCUCUGUAAUAACCUCGGAUACCUUCAAAUCUGCAAGAACAGAACAAAAUAUAUAAAGUUUCUUUCACAACAUGCCAAGUGUCCAUAUAUCUUGGAACACCAUCACCACUAGGCCGUUGCUGCAGAGUCAGGAAUUUCAGAACAACUCAGAGAAAGAUGCAGUGAUGCACAGUUAAUAGAAUGGAAACACACAAUGUAUCUUUGAAAGGACAAAGCAGUACCUGCAAUCGGGCUCGCAUAACCUGAAAGAAAGAGGGUGAAAGAAUGCCUCAUAAGAAAGCAACUUCAUCAAUUACUGAAAUAUCAAUUUCAAGGACUAUAUAAGAUAUACCUACUUUAAAAGAGGGGACAGACAGUUGUACCUGAAAUGGAUAAGUUAGCAGUAUCGCAGCAAGUUUUGAUGUUGCUCCAAGAACAGCAUAAUCAACAGAAUUCUGGGA